rnacentral:rRNA from 1 species
UACGGGGGGGGCAAGCGUUGUUCGGAAUUACUGGGCGUAAAGGGCUCGUAGGCGGCCAACUAAGUCAGACGUGAAAUCCCUCGGCUUAACCGGGGAACUGCGUCUGAUACUGGAUGGCUUGAGUUUGGGAGGGGGAUGGAAUUCCGCGUGUAGCAGUGAAAUGCGUAGAUAUGCGGAGGAACACCGAUGGCGAAGGCAAUCCCCUGGGCCUGCACUGACGCUCAUGCACGAAAGCGUGGGGAGCAAACAGG